AGGUCUGCCAAAGUAAGAACACUAUAAAGCGUUCUACUAGACUCAAUGUCAGGUGCUUCGCACAAUUCUCUAGGUCUUGGUCCACUGCUCACAAUGGUGCUGAUGCAAUAGAAAGCAGGAAAUUCCUUUGGUUCAUGGAUAUGAUAAGAUAAGAUGAGUCCAAAUGACAUGAAAAUCUGCAUUGUAUUGGCCCUGGUAAGGUCCUAACGAUACACCCCGAAUAUCAGCAUGGUUCUUGGAUUGCCACAUGAAUAGCUAGUUCUGGGUAAUUAGCUUUGUCGUGGUCUGAUCUGUAUAGCUAGUUCAGCUAGCUAUUUUUUUAUUGAUUACCAGUUCUUAAGAGUAUUGAUCCACAAGUUCAUUUUUUUUUGCCUCAGCAUCCCAAAUUUCUCUAGGAAUGAUGUGCGAUUAUAUGCAAUAGGUAUAUAGGUGCUGACGCUAAUUUCAUCAAGUUCCACAUAUUUCUGGUGAAAAAGGGCUAUUGUUUCAACCAUAUUCUGCAACUGAACUGAAAAUGUUUAGUUUAAGAAAAAUGUUGGGAGGUUUUCUUUUGAUUUCAGAAAGGAUAAAAUGAUUUUUGCAAUCUCGUAGUCAAAUAUGGGAUUUCUUCCAAUCUGCUGCACACACAUGGGAUUUAUGCUGUCUCUGCAGGAUGAUGGUAACAUUCAGCAGCCCACGGCUAUCCCCAACCAACGAGUUAUAGGAGACGAGCAGGUGCCUGAUGAUGUGCCAUGAAGCCCCAGACCUGUCCAGCUCCAACACGAACACCACGUGCAGAGCACCACCGUCCAGAUUCUGGCCACUGGAUAUCUUCUUGCUAACUUCCAGGCGUUGAGGUGGCAGUGACUAAGACGAGGUCAGAAGGAAACUGCAAGAGUGGAUACACGAGCUUAGAUUUCAGCGAGCUCAGCAUGACAUGUCUCUAACCACGAGGAUAAACACUGUAUCAUUUUGGUGUGCACAUUCAUCAUUUUGUUUUUUCUAGAAAAAGAAUUCAGUUUACAAAUGCCAAUGUGUACGAGGUCAGAAGCUAGCUGAAAGAAUGACUACAAGGGACAAGAUGGACCUUGAGACCCAUAGAGCAUAAAUUAGAUUUAUUGUUCAAUUUGUAUUCCUUCACUCACCUGGCAACAAAUCUAUUUGCAAAAUACGUAUCACCUGAUUGAAAAUAUAGUACCGGCACUGCUCUAUGGAAUGGGAAUAAAGUACUUAAUUUGUUGAGCAAAGCACCAGCACACAAGCAACUUUUCUGUGUUGAUAUGACGUAAAGGUGCCUCGAGCUGUGCGUUUCUGCCAAACACUGCACACUCUGGCAGCCAAUCUUUUGACCCAUGGUUACCUGACACCUCCACUACCGAUGUACUGUGCCGAUGUCCGUACAGAUAUUUUACCUCGCUCUGAAUCACGGGCGGGAUACAAGCACAAGUUGUACACCUAUGUACCCAGCUGUGAUUUAUAUGUACUAUGCUGAUGUGUGUACAGAUAUUUUCCCCUCGUUCCAAAUCACGGGUGGGAUACUAGCACAAGUUGUACACCUAUAUACCCAGCUGUGAUCUAUAAGAAACAUGAUGUUGUGCUUUUGCGCAAAUGCAUUUCAAUUAA